rnacentral:rRNA from 2 species
AGAGUUACCUGGUCAGAUGACGUGCGCAGCCUACACAUCAAGCGACGGAGAGGGAGCUUCUCCAUAUCACGGCGGCGGGUGAGUAAGCCUAGGAAUCUGCCUGGUAGGGGGGACAACGUUUGAAAGGAACGCUAAUCCGCAUACGUCCUACGGGAGAAAGGGGGGAUCUUCGGACCUCACGCUAUCAGAUGAGCCUAGGUCGGAUUAGCUAGUUGGUGAGGUAAAGGCUCACCAAGGCGACGAUCCGUAACUGGUCUGAGAGGAUGAUCAGUCACACUGGAACUGAGACACGGUCCAGACUCCUACGGGAGGCAGCAGUGGGGAAUAUUGGACAAUGGGCGAAAGCCUGAUCCAGCCAUGCCGCGUGUGUGAAGAAGGUCUUCGGAUUGUAAAGCACUUUAAGUUGGGAGGAAGGGCAGUAAGUUAAUACCUUGACUGUUUUUGGCGGUAGC